AUUGAACGCUGGCGGCAGGCCUAACACAUGCAAGUCGAGCGGAUGAAGGGAGCUUGCUCCUGGAUUCAGCGGCGGACGGGUGAGUAAUGCCUAGGAAUCUGCCUGGUAGUGGGGGAUAACGUCCGGAAACGGGCGCUAAUACCGCAUACGUCCUGAGGGAGAAAGUGGGGGAUCUUCGGACCUCACGCUAUCAGAUGAGCCUAGGUCGGAUUAGCUAGUUGGUGGGGUAAAGGCCUACCAAGGCGACGAUCCGUAACUGGUCUGAGAGGAUGAUCAGUCACACUGGAACUGAGACACGGUCCAGACUCCUACGGGAGGCAGCAGUGGGGAAUAGUGGACAAUGGGCGAAAGCAUGAUCCAGCCAUGCCGCGUGUGUGAAGAAGGUCUUCGGAUUGUAAAGCACUUUAAGUUGGGAGGAAGGGCAGUAAGUUAAUACCUUGCUGUUUUGACGUUACCAACAGAAUAAGCACCGGCUAACUUCGUG
rnacentral:rRNA from 1 species